rnacentral:pre_miRNA from 1 species
AAAGUACUCCCUCCGUCCCAAAAUUCUUGUCUUAGAUUAGUCUAGAUACGGAUGUAUCUAAUACUAAAAUGUGACUUGAUACAUCCAUAUUUAGAAAAAUGUAAGACAAGAAUUUUGGGAUGGAGGGAGUAGUAU